rnacentral:tRNA from 1 species
CUCUAAGUAGCUUACACAAGAGCACAGGCCUUUUAAGCCUGCGACGAGCUAUGGCUCCUUAGAAC